rnacentral:misc_RNA from 1 species
AUAAUUGUCAACCCACGAUAGAGCAUGUGCUAACACAUGCAUCAUGUAUUGUAAAUGCCCACUUAUGUUGGACCUGUAAUUUUUUGUUAAUAGUAUAAAAAGACUGCCUCUGAAUAUCAAAGAAUCACUUAUAUUUCGUAAGAAUGCUGCACCACAUAAAGAAUCAGGGGAAUAAGCAGUUUAAAAUCACCUCGAUAAGUG